rnacentral:lncRNA from 1 species
ACGAUUUCUGCCUACAUCGCCCAGUGAGCAGUGAGCUGAGCAAGUGGCGAUUGAAUAUGACGUUCCAUUUUGUUCUAUAAAGGCCCUCCCCUUUCUUCGUCACGUCCUCUUUCAAUUUGGUGUCUUCGCUGUAGAGACACAUCUCCACAAGAUGAGAGCAAAGUGGAGGAAGAAGCGUAUGCGCAGGUAAGGAUCAUUUC